rnacentral:rRNA from 1 species
UACGGAGGGUGCGAGCGUUGUUCGGAAUCACUGGGCUUAAAGCGUGUGUAGGCGGAUUUGUAAGUACCUUGUGAAAUCCCACAGCUCAACUGUGGAACUGCUGGGUAUACUGCUUAUCUUGAGCCACUUAGGGGCUGUCGGAACAAAUGGUGGAGCGGUGAAAUGCGUAGAUAUCAUUUGGAACGCCAACGGUGAAAACAGACAGCUGGGAGUGUGCUGACGCUGAGACACGAAAGCCAGGGGAGCGAACGGG